rnacentral:misc_RNA from 1 species
GGAAUUCAAGCCAUGAAAUUAUCAGUGAGUUGAAUUUACUCCUUUGUUAUUCUAUUCCUUUUCUUCCUAUUAAUUCUUUUCUCAACGAUGUUCUCUGGACAUAUCAUUAGCAAUUCUGCUUCAUAUCUUGGUUUUAUCCAUUUGUGAUUGACUUUCUGUUUCAGAAAAUAUAUAUAUAUUACCUGAACUUGACAGAAGUAAGAAAGUCUUUCAAGAUAGGAAUUUAGCAGAGGUAGAAAUUUUAAGGACUAAUGAAAAUUAAACUUCCUUGAAUUCUGAGAUUUGAAGUUAUACCAAACAAAUUUUAAUAUGCAAUGUAUAGUAAAAAUCAAUCAGAGUAGUAAUAUUUUUUGUGUUGAGAUAAGAUAUGACAGAAACCCAUGCAUGAAAAGUGGUAAUACAAAUCAUUAAAGAGUGUGUUUGAAGGAACUUAAUUAGUUGUUUAACUUUGACUAAAGUUUGUAGAUCACUGUUUAUCAUAAUUAAUUAAUCCAUUUAGUUAUCUAAUAUUCUUCAAAUUGAAGACAAUAAUCCCUACUUUAUGAGGUGGUGAUUUUUAAGUAAUUUUGAAGGAACAUGUAACCACUUGAUUUUGACUAGAGUUUCUUUAAUACGUUGAAGCCGAUGAUACCUACUCUUUGAGCUGAUGAUUGAUAAGUAGUUUUGAAGGUUCAAAAAAAUUAUGGGCUGGAAAAAUUAGCUUUUACAAAGAAGCAAAGAACUAAAAUUAUUUCCUUUGAAGAAUUCUUCCAAGGGAUUGGAAUGGGACUGCUUCAGCUACAUCUUUAACUGGUAGCAAAUGUGGAUUGAUCAUUGAUAUUGAUUUAUGUAAAAUGAAUUGAUUCUUGAUAAUUAGUUCAUAUUGACUGUUGAAUUGUGGUUACAAGUACAGACUGCAAAUUUAAAGUUAUGGAAA